GGAUUUUGGACUGUUCAAGGGUUCAUUUUUUAUUUUUACCUUCUUCGCCUUUUGAUGCUCUGUCUUGAGCCCUGAUCUUGUACCCAAGAAAAAGGUCAGAGUUUUUCUUUGGGACCCCCUCCCCAUAGCACGUUAUCUUUGUGCAAGUGAAAAGCCCUUGUGUUGUCAGUACAAAAAUGUCUCAAACUUUUAUUGCUUCUUGGUAGCGCUUUCUCGAAGAUUGGGUUCUCGGACUUCGUAUCUUCCUUAAGCGGUCGUUUGCUUGAGAGAAAAUUUUCCAAGAAAUGAUCUUCCUUCAGUUGUUUUGCUACUAGGUUUUUCCGAAAAUUCCUUUCGUCAAACAUGGGCUUUGCCCAAAAUUACUGCAUCAAGACCCACUGUUUCAAAGCUCAGGGGUACACGUUAUACCUUUUCGACCAAGAAGUAAGCAUCUGCAGCCUUUCGGUUCGAAUCACUCUCCGUUUCUUCUAGGACUUUUCUCGAACACUUGAAUUUUUUGGUUUUGGUCCUUUAAAAUCGCCUCUUAAACCAUGGGCUGCGUCAACGGCAAAUGCUGUGGCCGGUACCCACAGUCAUCAGAUGGCGAUUCCCGAGACUACAGAGAAUCGGGUCCGUACAAUGUGCAAGGUAUACACGUACUCACACAGAGAUCCCUGGAGUCUAUUCCUGUUCCUUCCCACAAUUUUCAUUUGGAGUACUCGGUUCACACGCAGCGUGGUUACUACCCGGACUCGCCGGAUAAAGAAAACCAAGACAAUUUAUGCAUUAGGACACAGAUUCAAGGUAACCCAAAUAUCCAUUUCUUUGGUGUAUUUGAUGGGCACGGUCAAUUUGGCGCACAGUGUUCGAAUUUUGUCAAGGAUAGGUUGGUAGAAAUACUGGCUAAUGACCCUUCAUUCUCGGAUGACCCUGUUAAAGCUUUUAACUCUGCAUUUCUGACCACUAAUUAUGAGUUACAUAAUAGCGACAUUGAUGAUUCAAUGAGUGGUACAACCGCGAUUACGGUGCUUGUUGUUGGGGAUACACUUUUCGUGGCGAAUGUGGGCGAUUCCAGGGCUGUGAUUGCGGUGCAAGAGGGGAAUCGAAUCAGAGCCGAGGACCUAUCAAAUGAUCAGACGCCAUUUAGGAAAGAUGAGUAUGAGAGAGUGAAGCAAUGCGGGGCCAGGGUUUUGAGUGUUGAUCAAGUGGAGGGGUUUAAGGAUCCAAAUAUUCAGUCGUGGGGCAAUGAAGAGUCUCAAGGCGGCGAUCCUCCAAGGUUGUGGGUUCAGAAUGGGAUGUAUCCGGGAACUGCGUUUACUAGGAGCGUAGGAGAUAGUACGGCUGAGAAGAUUGGUGUGGUGGCUGUUCCUGAAGUGUUGAUGGUUCAGCUUACAGCCAAUCAUCUUUUCUUUGUUGUUGCAAGCGAUGGGGUUUUUGAGUUCCUGUCCAGCCAAGCAGUUGUUGAUAUGGUGGCAAGUUAUACAGAUCCCCGAGAUGCAUGUGCUGCCAUUGCCGGAGAAUCGUACAAAAUAUGGAUGGAACACGAAAACCGGACAGAUGAUAUUACAAUCAUCAUUGUUCAUAUCAAAGGUUUUUCUAAUUCAGGUGCUGGUACUACAGAUGGAUCAAGUGCAACCAAUAUUAGGCCAAUGAGGUUCAGAAGAGGAAUUUCUGAGGUAUCCUUUACCAGUGGCUCAGAGCUUUACCAUUCAGUAAGAAGUGACUUCUCAGACCUACAUCCUUGCCAGCAUGUGGUUUCAACUAAUCGAAGCCCGGCUAUCAUUGUUCCAUCUCCAAAACAUGAGAGGCCAUCAGAACAGUGAUUAGCUUCUAUGGCCUUCAGGAUGCUGCCUCACACCUCCUUGUCAUUUUGCUUUAGAGCAGGAUGUAGGCUACUGUGCAUUCUACCGGCAGCAGAUGUAAUUUGCUCUACGCAUAAUAGGAUAUACUUGGUCACUAAUCUCCAGGCGACAGCUUCUUUGCAAUACUGAUAAAACCAUUUCUAACCAAGCGAUAAUCCCUCAGGAGAACAAGAUUCUCUCCCUCCAGUUGUAGUCUCACCUGCUAACCACACAAUAUGAAGAAUUGGUAGGAAAAUUCACAUAUAUUGAAGGAGGUUAUGUCUAUGAUCCUUUGUAUCUUAAAACAUUUAUGCAUGCAGACCCUUCAGGAUAUUCCAUAAUUUAUGCAUGGAAUCUGAAUUCCAACGGCUGCAAAUUGUAGAGGAUACUUGUUAAUUUUGAUGCUACUCGAUCUUUUGUAUAAUCUAGUUAGAAGAUUUGAACUUGUCAUGUCAUGGGAUGUAGCUUUUCUUUCAAUAA